rnacentral:rRNA from 1 species
CGGUUAAAAAGCUCGUAGUCGGAUGUCGGGCUCGGGCAAGCUGUCGGCCUUUGGUCGGACGGCAGGCUCGGGUCUUUCUGCCUGAGGAACCCGGUUGCUUUAACGAGCUGCCGGUGGACGCAGGUCGUUUACUUUGAAAAAAUUAGAGUGUUCAAAGCAGGCUAGCGCUUGAAUACAUUAGCAUGGAAUAAUGGAAUAGGACUUUGGUGCUAUUUUGUUGGUUUAUGGGACCGAAGUAAUGAUUAACAGGGACAGUUGGGGCCGUUUAUAUUUCGUUGUCAGAGGUGAAAUUCUUGGAUUUACGAAAGAUAAACUUCUGCGAAAGCAUUCGGCAAGGAUGUUUUCAUUGAUCGAGAACGAAAGUUGGGGGAUCGAAGACGAUCAGAUACCGUCGUAGUCUUAACCAUAAACUAUGCCGACUAGGGAUCAGUGGAUGUCAAUUUGCGACUCCAUUGGCACCUUGUGAGAAAUCAAAGUUUUUGGGUUCCGGGGGGAGUAUGGUCGCAAGGCUGAAACUUAAAGGAAUUGACGGAAGGGCACCACCAGGAGUGGAGCCUGCGGCUUAAUUUGACUCAACACGGGGAGACUUACCAGGUCCAGACAUAGUAAGGAUUGACAGAUUGAAAGCUCUUUCUUGAUCCUAUGGGUGGUGGUGCAUGGCCGUUCUUAGUCGGUGGAGUGAUUUGUCUG